AGUAUCUUACGCCUCUCUAUCAAAAUGUGUUUAUUGAUACGCUUUUUACACAGGGUGCUUAUUUGUUGUUAUCGUAGCAAUAAGUAAUCGGCAAAAAGUAUUAACGGCCCAUUCAGUUUGAUUGUCAAUUGCGGGUUUCAUGUUAAGGCAUAGUCAACGACAUCGUCAUAUUCGCUGUCUAUUGAAUACAAAUUCCAAUGCAAUAUAUACAGUUU